rnacentral:misc_RNA from 1 species
AAGUCAUAACAAGGUUUCUGUAGGUGAACCUGCAGAAGGAUCAUUAAUGUAAAAACGAGAGUUGAGUCGUUCGCGGCCGCUCCACUUUAUACAUAACCAUAAAACACUUAUGUGCGCGCGAGUUUCUUUUUCCAUUGUUAUCAGUGGGAAAGGCUCGAAUCUUCUUUAAACACUUUAUACAAAGUCUUGGAAGUUACUUAAUGUUUUAUAUAAACAUGAAAAAAAAAUAAAACUUUUGACAACGGAUCUCUUGGUUCUCC